GAAUUACAUGAUGAAUAGAAGAUAUUUCCCUAUCGGUUUGAUUGUCGUGAUGAUGGCAUCUCUAAGUAUAUUAGCUCUGUCUUAUCAUUA